UGCUGCUGUUGAGAAGGCAGAGUCCGACCACGACCAGUCUGCAUCCAACCACUCUGACCCCAUAUUCACCACAACGGACCAGUAAGAACCUGUUAGCGAGGCGUCUUCCCAUAGCCUGGUCCCAGAUCUGUUAGUGCUGUUUUGCUAACUCCUAUGGUCAUAGGGACUUGGCAAGAAUGCACAGACAUGGGACCAGUCUUGUCUGCUACUGCCAACCAAGAUGGUCCACUCCACUGAAAAUACUGUGAUCAGUUUCUGGGGAUCAGUGGCAGGUGCUUAAAUGCUUACAGUCAACCCUCUGUACUAUAUGUGGCCAAAGCCAUGUACAGUUCCUUCAGAAAGUAUUUAUACCCCUUGACUUAUUCCACAUUUUCUGUUACAGCCUGACUUUUUCUUACCCAUUGACACACAAUAACCCAUAAUGACAAUGUGAAAACAUGUUUUUUGACAUUUUUGCUAAUUAAAUGUAUAAAUAUCUUAUUUACAUAAGUAUUCACAACCUGGAGUCAGUAGUUGUUAGAAUCACCUUUGGACGCGAUUUAAAGCUGAGUCUUUCUGGGUAAGUCUCUAAGAGCUUUGCACAUAUGGAUUGUCCAAUAUUUACACAUUAUUCUUUAAAAAAAAAUAUUCCAGCUCUGUUAAGCUCAUUGCUAGACAUCCAUUUUCAUGUCUUGUCGUAGGUUUCCAAGCAGAUUUAGGUCAAAACUGUAACUAGGUCACUCAGGAAAAUUCUAUGUCAUCUUGGUAAGAAAAUCCAGUGUAUAUUUGGCCUUGUGUUUUAGGUUAUUGUCCUGCUGACAGGUGAUUUAGUCUCCGUGUCUGUUGGAAAGCAGACUGAACCAGGUUUUCCUCUGGGAUUUUCAUCUGUGCUUAGCUCUAUUCCGUUUUUUAAAAUUUUAUAUCAACCACUGCCUAGUUCUUGCCGAUGACCAGCAUACCCAUAACAUGAUGCAGCCACCACAAUGCUUGAAAAUAUGAGGAGUGGUAUUCAGUAAUGUGUUGGAUUUGCUCCCAACAUAACACUUUCUAUUCAGGACAGUAAGUUAAUUUCUUUGCCACAGGUUUUACUUUUGUGCCUGUUUUGGAAUAUUCUGUACAGACUUUCUUCUUUUGACUUUGUCGUUUAGGUUAGUAUUGUGGUGUAACUACAAUGUUGUUGAUCCAUCCUCAGUUUUAUCCUAUCACAGCCAUUAAAGUCUGUAACUGUUUUAAAGUUACCAUUGACCUCAUGGUGAAAUCCCAGAGCAGUUUCCUUCCUCUCCAGCAAACUAAGUUAGGAAGGACGCCUGUAUCUUUGUAGUGACUGGGUGUAUUGAUACACCAUCCAAAGUGUAAUUAAUAACUUCACCAUGCUCAAAGGGAUAUUCAAUGUCUGCUUUAAAAAAUAAAAAAAAGUCCAUGCAACUUAUGUGACUUGAUAAGCAAAUUGUUACUCCUGAACUUUAUUUAGGCUUGCCAAAACAAAGGGCUUGAAUACUUAUUGACUCAAGACAUUUCAGCUUUUCAUUUUUUAAAAUUAAUUUGUAAAAAUGUCUAAAAACAUAAUUACACUUGGACAUUAUGGGGUAUUGUGUGUAGGCCAGUGACACACAAUCUAAAUGUAAUCCAUUUUAAGUUCUGGGGGUAACAACAAAAUGUGGAAAAAGUCAAGUAAGUGUGAAUAAUUAAGGCACUGUAUGUGGAUUUAUAUUUUGUUAUCUUAAUAAUAAGACUGUAUAUGUCUCAUUUCAAUUUCCAGUUGUGGUCUAUGUUUACAAGAGUCAUACAUUCUUAUGAUUGUGCCAACUGCCAAGUUUACCUUAAUGCGUAGGCGAUCUUUUUGUAGAUUUGAAAAAUUAGAAUUUUUAAAUAGUACGAAACAGUAUGUACAGGGUAACGGCUUCUAUGUAUGCUUAAUGGACCAAGUAGAGAGGGUGAUUGAAUCGAAACUGACAUCUCCCAAAUGGCUUCUUGUCUUGUGCACUACCUUUUGACCUCCGCUAUGUAGUGCACUACUUUUCACCAGGGCCCAUAAGUCUCUGGUCAAAAGUAGUGCACUGAAUAGGGAAUAGUGUGCCAUUUUGAGACGUCUGAAUUCGUAAAUAAAUGUGCACUUUAAGCGCCUUCUUAGCAUAAUGAACCACUGUCAUAGUAAGGGCUGCUGUGGUCUGCCACUCCCCCUUACGUGGGAGCCAAUAACUGCAACUUUAACCUAUGUGAAGAAAUGCUCAAAGUUUGAAUGUGUUGUUUAUAUUUGUUUGUUUGUUUGUAGGCUACAGAACAAUAUUUGUUCAGGCUUUAUUUUCAGUUUUCCAAAGCUUGUGAUUCCAAUUUGUAGGAUUCUGUAUGCCAACCCCAGUCCUGAACUCACAUAUGUGCUCACUGUUUUUAUUUUGUCAUGUCUCUCUCAUACCUCCCUGUUUUUUUUUUCUCUCUGUGUGUAAUAAUAUAGGAGAUGUUGUCAUUUAAAACUCUCUCUGUAUUCCUGAACCAAAUGAUUUUCUAUAUCUUUUGAUCUAAUCUUGUGUGGUCUGGAUACACCUGUCAUAUUCCCUUUCUGUACACCAGAUAUAUUUGUUUAUAUUAAUUGCUUCCCACGUACACCCGCUAGACUUUUUAAACACUUGGACACCAAGUAAUGACAGUUGUUGAAAGGCGUUGUCUCACACACCAGCAAUCCACAUAUUUUAAAGUGGGUUUCUGUUGUAGUUCACCAGUUUCAGUGAAUACUGCCAAAAUUCCAAUGCAGGUCAAAAGAAUCUUUCCGUAAUUGUUCACUGGACCUAAUAUGGAUAGAACAAAGGCCUUGCUUUUAAUAAACCUUUUUUUUUUAUCCUACUUUCAGUUUUAUAUACUGUUCAUACUGUAAAAUAUAUUUAUGUGUGUGUAUAUGAUUAAUAAAUUGGGGAUUCUGAUAAAUUGUUUGCCUAUUCAUAUCUUCU
ensembl:lncRNA